ACGAAAAACUGCAUGAAGAAAAUCACGGAAGGAGACGUUAUUUUUAUGCGUUGCUAAAGGCACUUGUUUAGACCUACUAUAUUGUAGGUAAAUUUGAAAGGGAAAAAAAAAGAAGAAGAAAAAAAUAGGCUAUAUAUCUAGCCUAUAAAGGCAUCGUUCCAUCCAUCUACUACCGCUUACUCCAUCUUCAGGGUCGCGGGGGAUCCUGGAGCCUAUCCCAGGGAACAUCAGGCACAAGGCGGGGUACACCCUGGACAGGGUGCCAGUCCAUCGUAGGGCACAAUCACAUACACACUCACACACCCAUUCAUACACUAUGGACACUUUAGACACGGCAAUCAGCCUACCAUGCAUGCUUUGGACUGGGGGAGGAAACCGGAGUACCCAGAGGAAACUCCCGCAACACCGGGAGAACAUGCAAACUCCACACACACAUGGCCCGGACCCUGGAGGUGUGAGGCGAACGUGCUAACCACUAAGCCACCGUUCUUAGUGAACCGAUUAAAAAAAAAAAAAAAAAAAAGAAACAACUAAAUGCAAAAAUUAAAAUCUAAAAAUUAUAUAUUUAAUGCCAAAUCUAAUGCCUAGCAAGUUCAAAACAAAAGAAAAAAAGACAUGUAUUAAUGUUGUAAUCAAUUGCACUCGGAAAGAUUAAAAGCUGAUUUUCCGAAGGUCUGAUCUAAUAUGGAUGUCCAGAUGAAGGUCAUAUUUGUAUUCAUACAACAAAUUCACUAUAAAUUCACUUAUAUUAAUACUAUUUCCUGCAUAUAUCCCUUAUAUCCCAUAUAUCUUCUGCACAGUGCAUUACCCCUUGCAUACCUGUAAAUUGCAUUUAUACCAUGUUUGUUCUGCCUUAAGCUUUAUUGUAUCUUCUAUACAUUUCAUUUAUUUAUUUAUUUAUUUAUUUAUUUAUUUAUUUAUUUAUUUAUGUGUCUUGCUGUCUUAUGUACUGGACGCUUCACAUACCAAGUCAAAUGCCUUGUUUGUGAGCGCACUUGGGAAUAAAGCUGCUUGUUAUUGUGUUCUGUAAAUUUUCUAAACAUAUAAAGAUCUACAUGAAUUAUUUCUGCAUAGUAAGCAAAGAGAUCUAACUAAUAAUGUAGGUCAACUGCCUUGUUCAUCUUUGCUCGUAAAAAUUACGUCACAAUGGUCUUAACACUUCCAAAGCUGUUGAAACACUUUCACAACAUGAAUCUUCGCACCAAGUAAAAUCAAGUUGUAUUACAUAGAAAAUGAUGCAAAGAGAAAUGUGUUUAUGACCAAGAUCAUCCACCUUGCCAGAGUUUCCGACUGGGAAUUUGGAGUCGAAUGACUGGUCCAUUGCACGUUUGUGUCAGAGGUGGAGUUUUUCCAAUUACUAUGGAUUGCAUAAAUACUUUUCCAAGUUUCAUAGACAUAGAGGUAGGUAGUGAGAACAAGCUUUUGCCUGUUGAGCAGGUAGGGGUUUGACUGGAUGGCUUAGUUUCCCCAAGUUUCUCUCUCUCUCUCUCUCUCUCUGUGUGUGUGUGUGUGUGUGUGUGUGUGUGUGUGUGUGUGUGUGUGUGUGUGUGUGUGUGUGUGUGUGUGUGUGUUCAGGAUUGUUCAGUAUCUGAGGUUACGGCAGCAGGAUCAAGUCCAAAACUUUAGGUUGUAGGAGCCUACAUCACGAGAGCCCUUUGAACCUCUUGCUGCAAAAUCCAGAAACAACUUGAAGUUUGGACCAGACUAAAGGAUUAAAAAGACGGAGACCCACAUAAGUGAGAAGUCACUAUUGUUCACAUCCCUUGGGAACCCACACACUCCAGGACGCGCACCCCCUUGUGGUCACCGGUCACUCCACUCUCCAUCUAAUCAUUUCAUAUGGUUUACAGAGGCUUCUUCUUUUUUUUUUUUUUAUACAUCAUGCUUGGCCCCACUGCCAAAUGUCUGCUUCUGGAUCUUCGUUUAGCCCAAACACCCAUAAAUCAUAAAGCUAUCAGUGUAAAGCGAUGGCACAGAGCCCGAGACAUGCAGACUGUGAGGGCAUCUGGAAGGCCAGGCUCAGGCUGUUUCUCAUCACAGACAGCUGGCUGGCUCACCAGCAGCCGAAUACAACUUGGGUUAAGGCUUAAAAGGAUAAAAAGUUCAAUCAGUGCUGAAUGCUAAUGUGGCUAACAAUGAUUAGUUUAAAUAACAGUGAGCAUGCGAUGAUGUGCAAAUGGACCAAAUGCAAAUUAUACAAAUAGCUGUUCACCUAAGAUAUAAUUUGCCAGAUGUACUAAGAUAUGCUCAAUUGUACUACUUUGAUGCUCAAGACCAGGGUGGUGGGGGAGCUUGGUGCCUAUCCCAGGGAGUUCAGGGGACACCCUGUAUGGGGUGCUAACCCACUUCAGGACACAAUCUCCCACACACGACAAUUUGGAAAUGCCUACAGCACACUGAGGGAGGAAACAGGAGUACUUGGAGGAAACCCCUGAAACAAGGGGAGAACUUAUAAGCUCCGUACCCACAGGGUGGAGGUGGGAAUCAUACCCCCAACCUUGGAGGUGCGAGGCAAAUGUUCUAACCACUAAGCCAGAGUGCCUCCCCUUAUUAUUGUUUAUCUCCAUUUCACUCAAUGAAAGUGUUCCAGUGUUUAAUGAGCGGAUUCCUCUAAAUUUUUUUGAAUUGAACCGAUUUGAAGUUAUUUAGCACUUUUUAAGGUUUUCAUUUGACUCACCCUCAUACAAAAAAAUGCAAAAAGACUUUUUUUCACACCCAAUUUUCAGACAUAAGAGUUUAUUCAAUUUUUUUUUAAUUUUUUUUUUUUAACCAUAGCAAUUUUGUUCUCAAAUAUGAUUGGUCAGAAGUCAUUAAUUCACUUUCUCUAAUAGCUACUCGACAGUAUUUCCAGCUGUACUGACAAUUACAAGUCAACUGACCAGUUAUAUUAAUUAACCUUAUUUAAUAUGCUAUAAUUUCUAACUUAUGGUGUUUUAUGCUAGAUGUUGCACAGGUAAACAGAAUAAAUACAAAUGAACAAGCAAAAAAAUAUUAUUUAAAUAAAUAAAUAAAUAAAUAAAUAAAUAAAUAAAUAAAUAAAUAAAUGUCUCCUUGGGAAAUAAGCUUUCCAAUGAGAUAAGAUCCAAUAUUUAUAGAAUAAGAUUUUAUACCAAUAACGCAAUUACUGAUGCAUUUUUACAUUUUGCGGAAGUAUGAAAGUUAUAGAAUUUCCAAAAAGCUGAAAAUCACUACAAUCUUUGACUGUGGUUUAUUGACUUAAAAACAUAAAAUUAAAAUCAUUAAAUUUAAAAUGUCUUCUCUAAUGUAGGCAAAAAAAAAAGAAAGAAAAAAAAAAACUCAAGGAACUUUAAUUGUCACUUUUGAUAUCCUUGCCCCCCCCCAACAUUCAGACUCUUGAUUAAGUCAAAAACAAUUUCCAGUCCUCUUUGAUUAACGAGACGCAUUUUUUCGUGCGUCUUUUCUCUUUAUGUGGCUGCAUUUUUUUCUCGGAACGUAACUCAGGUGUUUUUACUCCAGGGCAUGUCGGUUUCAAGCUGAGCCUGGGAACGAAAAAAAAAAACAAAAAAAAACCCACAAGUCUGUCUGUCUAGCUCUUGAUGGUGUUUGAUUCAUAUACAGCUGAGGUUGAGUAGACCUCUGAUCUGUGUGUAUAGCAUAAGACUAGUAUGGACUUACUUUGUGCGUGAGUUGUCUGUCUUUCUUUCUCUUUUCCUUUCUGUGUGAUCAUUCCUAUUAAUACACCAUGGACUCGUACUAAAACAUCAGUAUUCCACUCUGUUCUCUCUCACACACUUCUUCCCUUUCCCUCGUGUGUUUAUUUUCAUACUAUGGGGUAUGAUAGCUGCUUAAUAAUUGAUUUUUUUGAGUGUAUAGCCAUGCACUGAGAAAUUCUGAUUCAUCCUCAGAGUAACUCGCUGCCUGCUUCUUGCAUCAUUUAGGCCUGACAAUUAACUGUGGCUCUCGAACAUCCUUUGGAGUUUUGGCCUUCUCAAUCUUGUUUGGUGAAAAGUUUGCAGUGGACAAGCAGUGAGCGGAUGCCAAGCUUUUCUUCUCACUUUCUGACAACACGCCGCAACCAAAAAGAAAUACGACCACAGCAGCUUUUGAUCUGCCCUCCAGGCCAAACAGAAAGCAAGUAGCAUUGGAUAUUUGGCUGUGUGCGUGCACAUUUGUGCACCAGUCAUUGAAAAGUCGAAAUAUAAUUGUAUAGCUGGAUAGUUUUCUCAACAAGGCUGGUUUUGGCUGUGGUCAGAGCAGCUCUGUGUCUAACGCACACGUUUUCCUAAUCCUGAAGAUAUAACAUUAAGCUUUGCUAACACCCUUCAUUGCACAUGCAGGUGCACACACACACACACACACGUGUCAAUCCGGCUUUUCUGUCUUCCUGACAUUUUUAGCACCAAUGUUUGGACUUUACUUUCUAACCAACCUUAGAACUAGACCUCAUGAAAGUUCCUGAAGUUAGCAUGUUGUACAGGGUAUUUUUUUUUUUUUUUUUUUUAAACCUUGUUUUAUGACUCUGCACAAGUGGUUAUGUUCUAAAUAUUGUUUUGCAUCGCGUAUUUUGUUUUUGUGUAUACGGGUCAAAAACAUGUGUGCUUUGCAAUAGAAGGCUGUUAAUUUUGAAGGAAAUAUUAAGUGCAUAAAUAUAACAAAACCUUAACUUUUAGAAAAUCAUUUACUUUUACUGUUUUAUAAAGGGGUUUACAGGAAAAAAAAAAAACACAUAUGAAGUGAUAGUUCUAAAGAAUAACGGUCAAUUAUUAUUGGUAUAUUAAGAUAUAAAAAACAAUAAAACUACAAGUUACUCUCUGAGGGUUGUUGUUGUUGUUGUUAAGUAAUACAUUCCAAAAGUGCUACUUGUAAUAACACAGUAAUUGUCCUUAUUAUAAUUAAUCGUUGAUUUUGUAGCUGUUCAUUUUUUUUUUCAAUUUCAAAUGAAUAAAUUUAAUUAACAAAAACAAC